rnacentral:rRNA from 1 species
CCUACGGGAGGCAGCAGUGGGGAAUAUUCGGCAAUGGGCGCAAGCCUGACCCAGCAACGCCGCGUGAAGGAAGAAGGCUUUCGGGUUGUAAACUUCUUUUGACAGGGAAGAGCAGAAGACGGUACCUGUCGAAUAAGCCACGGCUAACUACGUGCCAGCAGCAGCGGUAAUACGUAGGUGGCAAGCGCUGUCCGGAUUUACUGGGGGUAAAGGGCGUGUAGCCGGGCUGACAAGUCAGAUGUGAAAUCCGGGGGCUCAACCCCCGAACUGCAUUUGAAACUGUUGGUCUUGAGUAUCGGAGAGGCAGGCGGAAUUCCUAGUGUAGCGGUGAAAUGCGUAGAUAUUAGGAGGAACAUCAGUGGCGAAGGCGACUAUCUGGCACAUAACUGACGCUGAGGAGCGAAAGCGUGGGUAUCAAACAGGAUUAGAUACCCGUGUAGUC